rnacentral:rRNA from 1 species
GACGAACGCUGGCGGCGUGCUUAACACAUGCAAGUCGAACGGAAAGGCCCUGCUUUUGUGGGGUGCUCGAGUGGCGAACGGGUGAGUAACACGUGAGUAACCUGCCCUUGACUUUGGGAUAACUUCAGGAAACUGGGGCUAAUACCGGAUAGGAGCUCCUGCUGCAUGGUGGGGGUUGGAAAGUUUCGGCGGUUGGGGAUGGACUCGCGGCUUAUCAGCUUAUUGGUGGGGUAGUGGCUUACCAAGGCUUUGACGGGUAGCCGGCCUGAGAGGGUGACCGGCAACAUGGGGACUGAGAUACGGCCCAGACUCCUACGGGAGGCAGCAGUGGGGAAUAUUGCACAAUGGGCGGAAGCCUGAUGCAGCAACGCCGCGUGCGGGAUGACGGCCUUCGGGUUGUAAACCGCUUUCGCCUGUGACGAAGCGUGAGUGACGGUAAUGGGUAAAGAAGCACCGGCUAACUACGUG